CAGGCUGCAACUCGCCUGCAUGAAGUUGGAAUUGCUAGUAAUCGCGAAUCAGAAUGUCGCGGUGAAUACGUUCCCGGGCCUUGUACACACCGCCCGUCACACCAUGAGAGUCGAUAACACCCGAAGCCUGUGAGCUAACCGCAAGGAGGCAGCAGUCGAAGGUGGGGUUGAUGAUUGGGGUGAAGUCGUAACAAGGUAUC
rnacentral:rRNA from 1 species